UACGGAGGGUGCGAGCGUUAUCCGGAAUUACUGGGUUUAAAGGGUGCGUAGGCGGCCAAGUAAGUCAGGAGUGAAAGUUUGCGGCUCAACCGUAAAAUUGCUUUUGAUACUGCUUAGCUAGAAUCAGGAUGAGGUUAGCGGAAUGUGGCAUGUAGCGGUGAAAUGCAUAGAUAUGACAUAGAACACCAAUUGCGAAGGCAGCUUACUACGGAUUUAUUGACACUGAGGCACGAAAGCGUGGGGAUCAAACAGG
rnacentral:rRNA from 1 species